GAGUAUGCCAUUGGGGGGGUGCCCAGAGUGAGAGAGUGGCACUCGUGAGGGGAUGUUGGAAUUUGAUUGGCACUGUCAAAUCAGUGUAUCGUGUCAGCAGUAAUAGGAACCAAUCUCUAGAUGCCACCACUACAUGCUGAUGGACGGGAAUGGACCUGCAGUGGCCUGCCAGGGUAACGCUAUACCCCUUACUUCCCACCACCCACAUAAGCACCGCCUCACAUUAUCCACUUGGCUGCAAACCAUAGGGUCCUAGACAACCACGACGUGUGUUCAUACCAUGUGUUAUCUGUCCUUCUGCUGUGUGUUGUUCAUUGUGUGUUUGCUUUCGCCAUUUGUAGUAGCUGGCUGCUGAAAAGGCCUCUCUAGAUGCUGGUGGUCGCGCUUCGCGCAUAUUUAUAUAUACAUACAUAUAUAUAGCAUUUGUAUAGCCGUACUGUGUACCAGCUACUACACCAAUGGUGGGUGUAGUCGACUACACCCACCAACGCGUCGGCCAUACAUGAUACACCCAUGCCGCCCAAUACUGUUAACAGCAGCAUCUAAUGCUGCUGCUGCUGGGUCAUGAUAGAAUGCGACUGACGUUCAUGGGUAGAUGUUUGGAUUGUAACCCUAGUCACCCUAGGUUGGUUACUAGUGAGCAUGGGCUGUUGUGGAAGUGAGUUCAAGUUACAAGUUCCACACAAACAUGUGGGGAGCUCGAGCUCCCAGGAUGCCUCCAUAAUGAAAGGCCGGAGGGCCCAUAGGCUGCGGCACUACUUGUAUAGGCACUGUUGUUUACAACAUCACGUGUAGACGCAUGCAUAUACCAGGCAAGUAUACACUACAGCCUAAACAAGAUCAGGUAUAGGCUGUCAUGUAAAGGGCAUCACUUAUUACGUUAUGCCUAUAGCGGUCUUGUAAUAGGCGCUCAUGUACACACGCACCUGUAUAUGCACUGUUGUUUACAACAUCACGUGUAGACGCAUGCAUAUACCUGGCAAGUAUACACCACAGCCUAAACAAGAUCAGGUAUAGGCUGUCAUGUAAAGGGCAUCACUUAUUACGUUAUGCCUAUAGCGGUCUUGUAAUAGGCGCUCAUGUACACACGCACCUGUAUAUGCACUGUUGUUUACAACAUCACGUGUAGACGCAUGCAUAUACCUGGCAAGUAUACACCACAGCCUAAACAAAGUCAGGUAUAGGCUGUCAUGUAAAGGGCAUUACUUAUUACGUUAUGCCUAUAGCGGUCUUGUAAUAGGCGCUCAUGUACACACGCACCUGUAUAUGCACUGUUGUUUACAACAUCACGUGUAGACGCAUGCAUAUACCUGGCAAGUAUACACCACAGCCUAAACAAGGUCAGGUAUAGGCUGUCAUGUAAAGGGCAAUGCAUAUUACGUGAUGCCUAUAGCGGUCUUGUAAUAGGCGCUCAUGUACACACGCACUUGUAUAGGCACUGUUGUUUACAGCAUUACGUGUAGACGCAUGCAUAUACCAGGCAAGUAUACACCACAGCCUAAACAAGGUCAGGUAUAGGCUGUCAUGUAAAGGGCAAUGCAUAUUACGUGAUGCCUAUAGCGGUCUUGUAAUAGGCG
rnacentral:lncRNA from 1 species